GGCUGUUCACCGGGGGGCCGCUUCGCGCGGCUGAGAUUGGGCCCAGGGCCCUGACCCGUCGAACCUGAUCCGGGUCAUGCCGGCGAAGGGAGGGAACGCGGUCGGGGC
rnacentral:ncRNA from 1 species